GUGACCCGGUCAACGGCUGGGCCAGGGCAGGACGGAGCGGCCCGGCUCCGAGGCCCGGGGUCGGGAAGCCCCUCGCCGGCUCCGAAGGAGCGCGGCCCGGCCCGGCUGCCCCUCCCCGCCGUGCGAGAGAGCGGCCGGAGCGCUGCGGCCGCCCUCGGCCGGCCUCCUCCCGCCAGCCGAGUCCCCUCCUCCUCCCCGCCGCCUUCCCGGCGGUGGCGGGCGGCCGAGCCGCUCGGGUAACUCGCCGGUUCUGCCCAUGGGGGAGUGCGGGGUACCCCCCCAGGUCCAGCUCUUCCUCCGCGCCUGCGAGCAGGGCGACUGCGAAACCGCCCGGCGCCUUUUGGGGCUGCCCGGCGGCGGCACCGCGGCCGACCCGGCGGUUCCCUCCUCCUGCGGUACCGAGGAGGCGGCGGCGGAUCCCCGCGGCGAAGCGUCCUCCCCGCCGGCUACCGCCGCCGCCGCCGUAGCCGUGGAUUGCACCGACGAGGCCGGCAACACGGGGCUGCAGUUCGCCGCGGCGGGGGGACACGAGCAGCUGGUGCGGUUCCUGCUGCGGAAGGGAGCUUCGGUACAGAGCACGAACCACUACGGAUGGAGCCCCCUCAUGCAGGCGGCCAGGUUCGGACAUCUAAGUGUGGCUCACAUCUUGCUGGAGAAUGGUGCUGAUCUCAAUGCACAGAAUAAAUUAGGAGCCAGUGUCCUCACAAUGGCCUCCAGAGGCGGCCACGUCAGCAUGGUGAAAUUGUUGCUGGAAUCAGGAGCUUUUGUAGACAAUUAUGACCAUUUUAGCACAAGUGUGCUCAACAGCAGCAGAGACGACCUUCCUGAUAUCACUCCACUAAUGGCAGCUGCUCAGCAUGGACAUGAGGCAGUGGUACAUCUGUUAUUAGACUGGGGAGCUGAUUGUAAUUACACUGUGAAGACUAUGGGCUGGAGUCCUUUAAUGCUGGCAGCUGUUAGUGGAAAGGUGAGCUUGGCACAGCAGCUCAUGGAGAAGGGUGCCAAUCCCGAUCACCUGAAUGUGCUACAUAAAACACCUUUUGAAAUCUCUGUUGGCUUCAAACACAAAGACAUGAAGGACUACCUGGAAUCUCUCACAACGAUCAGACCCCAGGCAGAUACAGAAAAGAGGCAACCUGAUGUCUUUCAUGCUUUGAAAUUGGGAGACUUUCAGCUGGUUAAAGAGAUCGUUGAUGAAGACCCAAGCCAGGUCAAUAUUACCAACGUUGAUGGUGCAUCUCCGUUAAUGAUUGCAGCUGUAACUGGACAGCUGCCACUUGUUCAGCUCCUUGUUGAGAAAAAUGCCGAUAUCGACAAACAGGAUAAUGUUCAUGGCUGGACAGCACUAAUGCAGGCCACAUACCACGGAAACAAAGAUGUUGUAAAGUAUUUGUUAAAUCAAGGAGCUGACGUCAAUCUUCGUGCAAAAAAUGGAUAUACAGCUUUUGACCUGAUAAUGCUGUUGAACGAUCCAGACACAGAGCUUGUACGGUUACUGGCAUCGGCAUGCAUGCAAGUAGACAAAGACAAGAAUAAACUGAACAACAGAUCAUCUUUGCCCUGUUCCAGAAGUAGGCAAUCCUUAAAUGUCCCAAUGUUGCCAGAUGACAAAGGAGGUCUAAAGUCCUGGUGGAGCAGAAUGUCCAAUCGAUUCCGCAAGCUGAAGCUGACUCAGACAUUGCGCCAUGGAUUUCCUUCCAAUCAGUUUGUGCCUUUUCCCGAUGAGCCUGAAUCAUCAUUAAGUUCCACCAUAAAAGCAGUUUCACAGAGUGAUACAGACACCCCUGGAAACCUUGAUGCUGCUACAGCUUGGAUCACAAAUAACAAAGCUAGUGGUGUAAACAUGGCAAAAGGAGGAAAGGAUGAUGAAUUAUUGACAACCAUGUUGAGAAGUAGUGCUCCAUUUACCAGGCUGCCCAGCGAUAAACUGAAAGCAGUGAUACCGCCUUUCUUACCACCCUCAAGUUUUGAGCUUUGGAAUUCUGACCGAACACGACUCGGCAAAGAUGGCAAAGCUGAACAGAUGAGAACUGCCUGGCCACAGAGAGCGAUCAAGCACGAUUUUAACAGCAGUGGGAACUCUGAUAUAACAUCUGUUAGCAAAGGUACUAGACCAGUCAAAUUACCAACAUUUGCAAGAAGACCUGCAUCUCCUUCAAAUUCCAACAGCUUCAACCAUUCCCCCCAUUCUUCUGGUGGGUCUAAUAACAUUGCGGGAAUUAACAGGCAUGGAGGAGAACUGCAUAAUAGAUCAGGUGGCAGUGCAGAUAAUGUUUUGUCUCAGAUAGCAGCCCAAAGAAGAAAAGCAGCAGGCUUACCUGAACAGAAGCCCAGCCAACAGCAUAGUCCAGUCCAGUCAACUCCUUCAUCCACACUGUCUGAUUUGCAAUGUGCUCAAAUUGUUGGCAAUGGACAUGUUGUAAAGCAAAAACUGGAGAUGAACAAAAGACCUCCAUCUGGGACUUCAUCUACAUCUAAAAGCACAUCACCAACGCUCACACCUUCCCCAUCACCCUCCCCGUCUCCUAAGGUUCACAAUGCAGAGUCCUCUCUCUCUUCUUCUCACAGACAGGCCAAGAGCAAUGGUUCCAGCAGUGGUACUAUUACAGAAGAUGGCAACCACGUGGUGGACCAUCAACAGCUUGUCCCUAUUCUGAGAACCAGUGACGUAGAGAAUCAUGAAAGACGAAACCAUGUGAGAGUAAAAGGAGGCUCUGAAAACUUGGAGAAAGAUGAGCUGACUGGCAUCCUUAAAAAAUUGUCACUUGAGAAAUAUCAGCCUAUUUUUGAGGAACAAGAGGUGGAUAUGGAAGCCUUCCUUACACUUACUGAUGGUGAUCUGAAAGAGCUGGGUAUUAAAACCGAUGGAUCAAGGCAGCAAAUUUUGGCAGCUAUUUCUGAACUGAAUGCAGGAAAGGGACGAGAGAGACAGAUUUUACAAGAAACUAUACACAACUUCCACUCUUCGUUUGAGAGUAGUGUUAGCAACACACGGCCUCCAGGUCAUUCCCAGUGUUAAGAUACCUUGGACUCCCACAUAAAGAAGGCUUCUGAAAUGGGAACCUUCCCAAGCUUUUCCAUGCACCUGGCUGCUCUAUAAAACCACAAGAAGCUGUUUCUCCUAAAAGGUAGCUACUGGAAAAAAAGAUUGGGUUUUUUUCUUAUGGUGAAGUUUGGCAUCUGGCUGAGUGAAUCCAAGUAUACAAAUGAAAAUUUGAAAAGUUAGUCCUAACUACACCUGUAUAGGACUUUCUCCAAUAAUGUGCUAAAAAUUUGAAUCCCACAAAGAAUCAAGAAAAUAAUAAAGAGAUUGCUUUUAUAGUUCAGCCUAAGUGUUGAAUUGUUCAAGGCAUCAGUGGUCUGGAUUUGAGAAGAACAAAGUCAGAAGAUCUGGAAGAAUGAGUGACCAUAUAAGAAGAAUCAUAUUUUCAUUCUACUCUUGCCCAUGGAUGAAGAACCCAUAGGAGGCUUACAUGAGCACAGUCAAGAACACAAAAGCAUGGAAGAAGGCAUGAAAAACACCAUGAAUUAUGAGAGCUUCUACAUGGAGAAGUAUGUAACCUGACUAUGCCUCUCGACUGGAUACAGAUAAAAAGAGUCCAAAUUGAAAAUGUAAUGGUUUCAUGAGAAGGAAUAUAAAGGAAAAGUAAUGCUGCAUUCUUCAUUAACCAAAAUACACUUUAUCUAUUCAAUAUUAAGAGGUUAGAACAGCAGUAAAAGUAAAUAUGAAAUACUUAUUUGUAAAAAAAGCACUUUAUUUAAGGAAAUGCAUAAUCUGUCACCAAUAUUUAAACAGAAAUAGUGUUAAAAUAUUUUAUAUUGCCGAUUGGUUGUUUUGAGAAUAAAACCAUUUAACUGA